UUUCUCUGUAAGAAAGAAUUUCCCCCUGCACAGCUGAUGUCUAAGAGAGACUGUGUCCUGAUGACAAGAUUCAGAAAGGUCGUUUAAAUUAUACUGCCUGAAAUUUCCAAGAUGGCAUCACCUGUAAGAGAGAAAAAAAAAGAAUGUCAUUGAAUAGAGGAGGAGAUGCUGAUUUCUAUGUGAGUGGACAGGAGAACAGAGAGCGCUUUGUGGCUGAAACUCAGUUAACUGGAAACCUCGGGAAUUGCAAUUUUUACGUGACUGCGGUUCAGUGGAACAGAGUCUUGCGCUGAUAACUCAGAGAUAAACGACUAGAUCCUGGUUUGGUAGCUGAUGCUGGAAAACAUGACCCUCUUCAUGGAUUGAUGCUAUACAGACUCUGGUUGCCCUAAAGGAGGCCAUAUCCCUCACUAGCUGGUGCUGUGCUGGAAUUAAAGUAACUGGCAAGGCUAACAGUGGGAGGAAAAGCAUGCUGUUUGUGCAGUGGUGUUGUUCCUACUUAUCUGUUAAACAAAAGUGUGCUUUUAAAAUAUUUUCCUUGUCUGACAUCAACGAGUGUUCCAAGCAUGAGAAAAUGGUGAGCCUGUUGAUGUGCCAAUUGACUGCUAUUGUCAAAUGGCUGAAUUUCUUAGAUUUCUUAGUAUUGAUUUAGCGAAAUCCCUUGACAGCCUGAGUUUUAUCUCUUCCUGAUGACAUUCUGUCUCUCUUUUCUACUCGAUGAAAUGGCAGGUGUAUUAUAUACAGUAUCAUCAAUUUAUACUUCACAGCCAUUUCUCAGCUCCUGCACUUCCUCAAAUUCUCUAUUUAUUUACGUACUUAAGGACCAUGUUGUUCAGCCAUUUCUUCUCGGUGAAGUGCAAAGAUUUGGUUUAAAGCAGGCUAUAGCUGAAAUAUGGCUUUCAUCAAACAGUAACAUCUUUGUCAAACUUCAACAGAAUUAACCUUAACUGCCAAGGAAGGUUUGACUUCCAUCAUAAAAAUGUUUGAUUAGUGUUAAUAAUUUAUUAAAUUGGUUUGUCCUGACGUUGCCAACAUGCUGGAAAUCUCUCAACCAUUAAAACAUUAACAGAGGCUGUCAUACAAUGCUUCCCCUGUUCUGUGUUGAAUUUCAGAACCACGUUCUUCUGAGGCUGGUUCUGCAGGGUUCCAAUGUGCACUCAUUAGGACUGCAUUAAAAGAUGAAAUAUACUGAAUAUUAAAAAGUGUGGCACUAGGAAGCAGAGCAUGCUGAGCGUACCUCCACAGACAGUUUGGCUGGGAUUAAACCAGGCAAAAGCAAACCUUUUUGUCAAAAUAUGGGGAAAUACAAUUGUUAGCUGAGUAUCUUUAGGAGAUGGAUCCCCUCUGUUGGAUUACUGGUGUAUUUUAAAAAUUUGGGUGAGGCAUUAUGAGAACUACAUUGAAUAGUGAACGUGAUAAUUGAACUGUUUAUGUUGAGGCAUAUCACUAAAUUGUAUCCUCGGCAGAAUUCCAUUCAAUAAAUGCACUCAGACCUUGAGAAUGGGUUCCCACCAACUUUUACUUUUAUCAGGUACAACCACAGUUAAAUUUCCAGUGGUUGGAGCCUAACCUGUAGCAGCAACACCUGCUUUACCUCAUGCAAAAUGGAAUUGUGUGUGUUGUUAUUUAUCGAUACAGCCCUCUGAGUGUGCAGAAGGCUUUUAUAUAAACAUAUUGAAGACAAAUAGCUAAAUCUAUCCAUUGUGUGCUUCUAUUACCUUCAGUGGCACAACACCAGGAAUGAAUUUGUCCCAAGGACUUAGUCCCAAAGAAUUUACCAUUUCCUUUUGAUAUACCAGUAUAUGGGACAUAAGGUGCACAGUCACAUUGGAAGGCUGUGUUGAAAAAGUACAUAAGUGUUCACUUAGGCAAGCUAAACCUUUCUUUGUGAGCACACACUUUGUGGACUGCAUUUAGGUGCCAACCUUGAAAAUUUGGCCCAAGGUUUUUUAAUGUGGGAAGAUGUUCUAUUCAAAAGAAAUUCAGAGCAGCUGUGGUUUAUUCAGUACCCUGUGAAACCCAAUGUGAUGGGUGCAUUAGAACAAGAGGCACAUGUCUUUUUUUUUUUUUUUUUUUGCUUAAUAAAUAAAUAAACGGAGUUUGGCAGACAUGUCCUAAACGCUUAUCUAUUUUUGAACUCAUGACCCUUAAAGCAGGUUUCAUUAGUGUCUGGGUCUUGCUGUUCCCAAUCUACAUCAACGCUAUGAAUCAAAGUCUGUGCUCAGUUACAGUAAUAUAAAUCUACAGUAUCUGAACUGAAGUCAGUGGAGUUACUCUGGAUUUACAAUAAUGUAACUGAGGGUAGAAUUUAGACCCGUAUUUUCACUUCUGUCAGUGCUCACUGGCAAUUCAGGGAAUACAUGCUUUGUAUUGUGAACUUCAACAGAAGAGUCCCAUGACAUCAAAAUAUAAAUCAAGCUGUUGAAUUCUCUGAAGUUUAGCGAUGUUUACUGUUAGCACUGAGCUGACUGCAUUUUGUAAAAGGGAACAGUGUCUUCGUACACACUGUUUCAUAAUAUGAUGGCAAAAAUUGCAUAGGAAGUUAUGUAUUACCAAGGAAGAAAAAAUAACCAGUUGUUCCAACAUCAGAAAUUCAUAGUCCUUCAAUUUGAUACAUUCUGACAGAUAUGUCAGUUACAUGACUGUUCUGGGAACAGUUUUUAAAUAAAUCCACAUACAUCUUAAAGCACUGACUCUGAAAGUGAUGAAAAUAGAAUCACUUCUGCUCUUCUGUAUCAAUGUUCACAGCUUUAAUGCUUUCUUAAAUAGUUGCUGUGAUAAUAUUAAAAAGUGUUAAACCGUCUGAAAUUUAAAAAGAGUCCUGCAUUCAUGAAUUAUAAAAUGACAAAAAAAAUGGGUCUGACUCUGCAUAUUACAUGGGAUUAUUUUAAUCUUGGGUAUCAGGGUCUCCUGCGAAUUAUGAUGUCACUUUUGAUGGAAUUAUUUCCUUAUAAUUCACCAGCCCCAUCUACUGUUCUCUAUGGGAUAAAUCUUGAUUUCCUAUUUACUCAGUCAAGUAAAACGUCCAUUGACUUCAGUAAGCUCUUGAACUGACUAUUGUCCUAGGGGCAAAUCGUGCUAAGUGCUGAGAACACCCUCUUAGGCUCUGAGCAUCCUCAGCUUCCCCUGACAAUACCCCUUGAAUCAGUGCUUCAGAGUUUGUCCCUAUAGAAUGAGCCAGACACAUGCUCGAUAUACAUAAACAGACAAGAAUGGAAAUUUGAUAUUAAUGGUUAAUAAACAUCCCAUUCAAACUGCGACACUGGCAGACCAGGUGCCAGCUGAUGCCAAGGCCCCCAUGUCUGGCUCACCUGUGUGUUAGUAUUGUUAAAAUAGGUAUUAGAAUGAUAAGAAUGUGUUUAGUGUUUAGAAUUUAUGUAAUGCUUGUAAAUUGCUGCAUACAUUAAUCUCACUUAUAGCAUCUGUAUAGCAUAUUAUAAGGUAAUAUCUGAGUAUUUGCAUUAUAAACCUCUGUAACUGUGUAAAUCACCAGAGAGAAACAUUAACUAAUAUAGAUCUCCAACAGAAGGUACUAUGUCCUGGCCAACCAGGAUAGACACGAGACAGACCAGAGUACGAUAUUAAAGAGGACAAAAUACCCUUUUUGUUUAUUCAGUCUCCUUCCCUCCCCCUGGAAGAUGAGUCUUGCAAGUGAAUUCUUCCCAUCAACUGAGUUUGCAGCUCAAAGCAGAAAGGUGGAAGGGAAUAAAAACCCCUAACAAGGAUGAACUGUAUCUUUAUGCUGCUUAGACUCUGGAGGGCAAGAAUUACUAGGCAUAAGCAUAAGAUCCCCAGUGCUUAGCCUGGGUUAGCCCUAAAGUACAAGAUCUUGCUUAUCACAGAAGCCUCUUUUACUUCGGAAAAUUAAGACUGUAACUCAUUUGUGUAUGUAUGUUUACAUGCUUUAACCUUGUAAAUAUCUCUCGCUUUCUUUUCCUAUUAAUAAACCGAUAUAUAGUUUA